GACAGAGGGUGCAAACGUUGUUCGGAAUUACUGGGCAUAAAGCGCACGUAGGUGGUCCGCUAAGUCACGUGUGAAAUCCCCCGGCUCAACCGGGGAAAUGCGCGUGAUACUGGCGGGCUUGAGAUCGGGAGGGGUGAAUGGAACUCCAGGUGGAGCGGUGAAAUGCGUAGAUAUCUGGAGGAACACCGGUGGCGAAAGCGGUUCACUGGCCCGACACUGACACUGAGGUGCGAAAGCUAGGGUAGCAAACGGG
rnacentral:rRNA from 1 species